rnacentral:rRNA from 1 species
GUGCCAGCAGGCCGCGGCGUCAGAACGCAAAAGGUAAGACACUCUGAGGGCGCUGGCGUGCGGCGAGCAGGCGAUGAAAUUCGCCGGGGUCUUUCACCUGCACGUCCGCCUUGCCUUCGUGACGCUGCGCCGCGAUCAGCCGCGACAACCAGAAGCGCACGCAGGCGACCCGCAGCAUCGGCUGCCAGAGUUCGGCUUCGGCCGGGGUGAAGCGGCGCAGGGCCGAAUAGGCCGCCAGCAGCGGCUCGCUGCGUUCACCGUCGAUCUCGCCGUUGGGGUGCGAGCACCAGUCGUUCACAGCAAUCGCCAGGUCGUAGAGCAUCGGCCCGGAGCAGGCGUUGUAGAAGUCGAUCACCCCGGUCAGGUGGCCCCCUUCGAACAGCACAUUGUCGCGGAACAGGUCGGCGUGCAGGUUGGCGCGGGGCAGGGCGAGGAGUUUCGGUCGCAGCUCGGCGAUUUCCGCCAGGCCGUCGCGCAGCAGCGGCAGCUGAUCCUCGGGCAGGCUCAGCGCCAGGCUCGGCCCCUGCUCCUGCAUCCAAUCCAGGCCGCGGCCUGCUGGCAC